UUUGAGGUUUUUCACCUAUAUGCCAUGCGCUAUGUGAACCAUCAUACAAAAAAUAAAGAUGAGUCAACUAAAUUAAAGGCUCUUUGAGUGAAAUCCAGUUCAAACUUCACAGUGGAAACAAUCCUUUUCAAGCACACUGGUGUACAGAGCUGAUGGAGGAGAGAUGGAGAAGUUUGUGACCAGGGAAAGAAAAAUGUGACAAAUGUCUGCUCAACACGUCUUCCAGGAUCCAACAUUGGAGCUCGGACACAUGGGACCACAUUUUGCAUUUCAGGAUUUGUCACCCAGGAUGUGGUGGAAAACUUUACUAGAACAGCAGCGGAUGAUUGUAGGGGAGAAGGUCAGUGAUGAGCUUUGUUAGACACAAUUAGAGAUGUUAGUACUGCUAUAUAACAUCUCCCGCUGUCUAAGCAGCACACUAAUGAGCAUAGUAGGUCAGGUGACUUUUGACCCAGUGUUCUGUCAUUCUCUGACACCUUGAACCCUGGUGAAAUGGUAAAGACAAAUAGGUGCCUUUGACUUUGCCAGAUCAACUGCUGCCUCAGAGAGGUGAUAGGAGAUUGAUUCCACUGUGGGCUGCUGAGCUCUUAGUGAUUCAAAUAUGCAUCUUAUAUGGUGCUAGAACCAAUGGUGCAAUUGGUUUAUCCUGCAAGUGAGUCAUUCUCUGAAUGCCGAGAAGAACCUUUUUACGCUCUAAUGCGCACCAGUAAUUGAGAACAUUAAAUGUUAAUUGAAAGCGCAUCUUGCUUACAGCUUGAUGAAAGAUUGAGAAGUAUAUUUUUGUCUGAAAAAUUCAAAAUCUGAUUAAAACAUUUAAGCAGA